UGCAACUUAGUUUAUAUUAGAACCAUCAAUUUGCACUUGGUAAGAGAGAUAUCUCAGUAGCGG
rnacentral:tRNA from 1 species